UCUCAAUGUCUUUAGUUUUUACCCUGCCUGGAACUUAAGCAUAUCAAUAAGCGGAGGAAAAGAAACCAACAGGGAUUGCCCUAGUAACGGCGAGUGAAGCGGCAACAGCUCAAAUUUGAAAUCUGGCUCUUUCAGAGUCCGAGUUGUAAUUUGCAGAGGGCGCUUUGGCUUUGGCAGCGGUCCAAGUUCCUUGGAACAGGACGUCACAGAGGGUGAGAAUCCCGUACGUGGUCGCUAGCUAUUGCCGUGUAAAGCCCCUUCGACGAGUCGAGUUGUUUGGGAAUGCAGCUCUAAAUGGGAGGUAAAUUUCUUCUAAAGCUAAAUAUUGGCCAGAGACCGAUAGCGCACAAGUAGAGUGAUCGAAAGAUGAAAAGCACUUUGGAAAGAGAGUCAAACAGCACGUGAAAUUGUUGAAAGGGAAGCGCUUGCAGCCAGACUUGCUUGCAGUUGCUCAUCCGGGCUUUUGCCCGGUGCACUCUUCUGUAGGCAGGCCAGCAUCAGUUUGGGCGGUGGGAUAAAGGUCUCUGACACGUUCCUUCCUUCGGGUUGGCCAUAUAGGGGAGACGACAUACCACCAGCCUGGACUGAGGUCCGCGCAUCUGCUAGGAUGCUGGCGUAAUGGCUGUAAGCGGCCCGUCUUGAAACACGGACCAAGGAGUCUAACAUCUAUGCGAGUGUUUGGGUGUCAAGCCCGAACGCGUAAUGAAAGUGAACGGAGGUGGGAACCCGCAAGGGCGCACCAUCGACCGAUCCUGAAGUUUACGGAAGGAUUUGAGUAAGAGCAUGGCUGUUGGGACCCGAAAGAUGGUGAACUAUGCUUGAAUAGGGUGAAGCCAGAGGAAACUCUGGUGGAGGCUCGCAGCGGUUCUGACGUGCAAAUCGAUCGUCAAAUUUGGGCAUAGGGGCGAAAGACUAAUCGAACCAACCUAAUGCUUG
rnacentral:rRNA from 1 species